rnacentral:lncRNA from 1 species
GCGCGUAUAGCAUAAGCUCUAGCAGGAGCACGAGCCUCAGAUCUGGUUGUAGCAUCUCUAGAUCCUCUCUGACCGCCACUAGCAUUCCCCGUAUUUCUAGAUGGUCUACCCUGAGCAGUAGUAGCACCUGGUUUACCACUCUGAUUUACAUUUUGUUCAGACAGUCUCGGGCAAUCCUUGAUAAAAUAGUCUCCUGAUCCGCACUUAUAACAGGAGCGGUCAUGGAAUCUAAAACUCCCCGAAUGCCAUUUACCACAAUACUGGC